rnacentral:rRNA from 1 species
UUGCACAAUGGGCGCAAGCCUGAUGCAGCGACGCCGCGUGCGGGAUGGAGGCCUUCGGGUUGUAAACCGCUUUUAUAGGGGGGCAAGCUAUGCCUGUGUGGUGUGGUGAGUGGACUUUAUGAAUAAGCACCGGCUAACUACGUGCCAGCGGCCGCGGUAAUACGUAGGGUGCAAGCGUUGUCCGGAUUUAUUGGGCGUAAAGGGCUCGUAGGCGGUUUGUUGCGUCUGGUGUGAAAGCUUACUGCUUAACGGUAGGUUGCGCUGGAUACGGGCAGGCUUGAGUGCAGUAGGGGAGACUGGAAUUCUCGGUGUAACGGUGGAAUGUGUAGAUAUCGGGAAUAACACCUAUGGCGAAGGCAGGUCUCUGGGCUGUUACUGACGCUGAAGAGCGAAAGCGUGGGGAGCGAACAGGAUAAUACCCUGGUCUCCAUGCUGU